rnacentral:tRNA from 1 species
GGACUCGUAGCUGCUCAGCUGGUCGAGCAUGCGCGUACAAAGCGUAGGCGGCGUCUAUGCGUGGGUUCGAAUCCCACCCGGGGCCA